AAGAUCAAUGCCUGCUUCUUUCAAGGUGUUCAUGGGUACUGCUCAAGAUUUGCUUCCUUUUCCAGAUUCACCUAUAUAUAUUCGUGUAUAUUUGUGUUCGACGUUUUAGUGAUUCAUUUUCCUUUUUACUUCACUGAUAGGUAAGUUGAUUUUUGAGGAGGGAACUCAGAACAAAGUAAGGAUUCACCUAUAUAUAUUCAUGUAUAUUUGUGCUCGACGUUUUAGUGAUUCAUUUUCCUUUUUACUUCACUGAUAGGUAGGUCGAUUUUUGAGGAGGGAACUCAGAACAAAGUAAAGAUUAGGACUCAGUUUUCUCAUAAGGUCUCUUAAGGUAGAUAGCACAGUUACAUGAUAAAAAUAUGUUAGGCCAAAUACAUAGACGGCUCCUUAAACUAGUCCCAAAAUUUCAUUUAGACAUCUAAUCUAAGCAUAUGACCUAUUGGACACUCGAACUAUACUUGAAGUGUACCAAUUAGACACGAAAUGCUGACUGGCAAGUGCGUGCUUCUUACUCAAAAUUAAGUGCGUGGAAUGGUGUUAUGCUAAGCUACAACAAAGUAUUUGCCGGGUAUAUAGAACACUGGAAAAGUAAUUAUCCGAUCUUUUUUGUUCUAUUUACUCUUCUUUUUCCAAAUUCAUUUCUUCUGCAAUUUCUUCAGCCACAUAUUCUAACCAAUUCUUCUCCCGUUCUUUCUUCUUCUUGAAUAAAGCUCAUUCCAGUUAGUUUCCUGUCACUCCACAAUGGUAUUUCUGCCAUUUUCUUCUAGUGAUAAUCUAGAGUAUAAGGUCAUUACAAGGAGCAGUGAAUCAAUGUUUAACUGGCAAGCAAAUAUACAUUACGUUAUACUUCAAAUUUUUAACAUCAGCAUCCAAUCUCAAAACUCUCAAAUGCUGCCUGCUGCACGCUCUUCAAAAAUUUCCCAGAACUUCAAACAGUCGCCAAGAAGUGCAAAAAUUAUAUAGCCGAUGGAAGA
rnacentral:lncRNA from 1 species